GUCAAGGGUACCUCGAGGUACAGGUGAACUAAUGAACGACUAUUUAUCGCCAUCCGAGGUGAAGACUCCAGAAAUGGAUCCAUUUCAAUGCAAUUCUCCCUUACCACCAGUUCCAUCGCCGGCUGAUCACGAAAGUUUUGCGCUUUACCAAGAGAUCAAAAUGCGAGGAGGAUAAAUUCCGUUUUGAUAAAGGAUUUGGUAAUAAAGGAAGAAAGGAUAGCGAAAUUGAGAAAAUGCAUAAUGAUCGUAAACCGGAAAUGCCGAAGCAUUCAGAUGUAAAUUUUUUCCCUGAAAAUUCACCCAAUAAUCAUAAUAAUGGGAAAUUAAUUAUGAAAGAGAAGACAAUAGAUGAACACUUUACAGAAAAAGACCGCGACUCGUCGGAGGAGAAAGAACAUCAUCCGUAUUAUGCUAAUUUGCACAAGUCAUAUGUGUAAACUGGGGAAUGCAAGUUUGAAAAAUACUUCGUUAUUGCAAAGAAAGAGAAACGCUACCAACAGAACUUUGCCACCAUGUUUAUAUAAUAUUAUUUUUAAAGUGUUGUGUUUGCGAGCGCCAAAAAUGGGAAGUAUCAACUCAAAAUAUGCCAAGCAUUUAAAUUGUAAAUAUAUUCUUGGAAUUGCAAGCAAUCUCCACAGUUCUACCUAUCUCCUGUAUUGAUACAAUGUUCUCUUGUAUUUGACCCACCAACAUGGCUGCUGUGACGUAGCAUGCAACCCACCUGUAUGUGAAUGUGCAAGAAUGCUUGUGCACUUAGAUGAAUAGUUUUACAUGUUCAUCAGUUCAACGCUAGAUUUUUCGAAAUUCUUCGCACAGGCAAUUUGAUUCAUAACUGCGGUCAUGCAUGUAUGUAUUCAUAUAUUAUCAGCAAUAUAUUUUUCGCAAAAUGA